AUUCCGAGCAAAAUCUGUUCUUUGUUUUGAUUUUAGUGAGAAGCGCAUCCUUGAUUUUUUUUUACGAAAAUAACCGAAAAUAACGAUUCCCCCCAAAUAAGGGACGACAUCAAAAGUUCAAUGUAGGAUAAAAAAAAACUUAAUUCACAUAGUUUUUUCACUGACCCCCCCCCCCCCCCUCUUAACUUAAUUUGGGAAAAAUUGAUUGACCAAUAUGGAUAUAUGUAAAAUCGAUUUUGGAUAAACAAAACUUGCAGCAAUUUUAACCCCCCACCCCCAAACUAUUUGAUUUAAGUUUUUUUAUCCUACAUUGAUCUUUUGAUGUCAUCCCUAAGAAUGAAAAUAAAGUUAAAAUUUUAAUCGGCUAACCUCGGGGGACUCCGCUUCUCUCAGUCUAUAGUGUUAGAUGGAGGUACGGAAUCGGCCGAGUUGUGACGAACGAUUUCUGAUCCUGUUUGGGUAGCGAGAUUUCAGCGAGAUCACAACAUCAUUGCCGCCAUAUUUGAAAGAAAUUUUCCAAACGGCUUUCUAAUGAAUUUAUGCCAUGAAGCGUGUAAAAGUUACUACAUUUAAACAGUUAGAGUCUGCUGAUCAUGUUGAAGAUAGUGACACCGAAUUUGAAGAUGACUACAUUGAUGUUAGAAAUGCAAAGCGCAAAAUAGCCAGGAAACGUGAAAAAACAUCAAAUGUAUUAAAAGAUA